ensembl:lincRNA
GGAGACGUAGGCUGCUCGGUUCGAAGUGACUGCUGCGCCCACUCCCUCUGGCUGUGGGGCCGCCCCCUCCCCACUCCCGCCCCUUUCCCCCGGACUGCCGUUCCAGCAGCCAAUCAGGAACUCCGGCGCUCGUCUGUUGGCUGUCACUCAGCUGUCAACCUUCAAUCAACAGUCCAGUGGCCGCGGAUGCCCACCUGUCAGCCUGUCAGUGGGCAAGCAGAGAGGUCAUGCCCCGCCCUGGAGCCUGGCAUCCCCGGGCAGGUAAACGCACAUCUGAAACACCUUCGGUCCCCACCCAUGCAGAGGACACCAACUCAUUCCCAAGGUGAGACUUCCCUCCCGCUGCCCUGGACGGGGAAGCUCAGCAUUGACCUGCCCUCCUGGCUAAGCUGUUCAGUCAACCGGACUUCUCAGUCGACCCAGGGGCACCAAAAGGCAAGGCCUGGGAGUGGUGGCAGAUGGGACCCCUCUACCCUAGCUCAUUGCGUGGGGAUGCAAACGACCCAGGCUGCCCUGGCCACUAAGCCCCAUCGCCCCCACCACUGUGGUAUCACUGGGAAGCUGACUUGGUCUGAUCACUUGCUUGUUGUUAUCUCCCUUGCAGUCUGUGAAGCUCUUGUUGAUUGCUUCUCCCUGUCCACCUGGAACAGAGCCUGGCACAGACCGGGUGCUGCAUAGGAAUGGAGGAGCCAGGACCAUCAAGGGGCCACAGUGGCAGCCAUGCCCACAAUCCUCUAGUCUCAAGUCCCCAGCUGGGCCGGCAGGAAGUCUGUCAGCCUCAUGAGUCCCUGUCACCAAGUACUCCAAGGAUGCUCCGGGAUCUGACAGGGUUGUGGCUCUAUGUAAGGCUCUCUCCAGGGCCAGGGGCAGCUGUGGUUACAGCUGCCAUUCACAGGUGGAAGUCCCUCUGCCUGCCACCUGCCUUCCUGUAAGAUGCCUUUUGGGGGGAAGGGACAAUAUUGGGAAUUGAACCUAGGGCCUUCCCACUGAACCACAGACUUGUGAUGUUCCUGCUCCAGCCUCCCAGAGAGCCGCCCCUUCCUUGGCCAACCCGCUCUAGUGCCUGCCUUCCAGUUUGGUCAGGGAGGGAGGAUCCUUUAGCAACGCUGCUUAGGCCUAGGUGAGCCCAUUAUUGCCUUUACACCACAGCCCUCUCCACCCCAGAGCAGUGAGGACCAUGGGAAAACGAAGAAGGGCUGAGUCGUGGGGUUUCAGACACAGAUGGUUUCCCAAGCCCUAUUUCUUGCAGUCUCCAGGCCCAGCCCUCCUUCGGGCAGUUUCCGCCUGGUGCCUUCCUCCUGUGAGUUUCUCUCUGAGGCCCCUCUGCUCCUUGUAUCUGGCUUCUGUCUGGUCCUGCCGAGCCUGUUGGGCUUGUUUGGACCUGUCUGAAUCCCAGUUUCAGAUACCUACACAGAGUGACAGUCCAGCUCCCAGAAGCCCCUGGGUACCACACCCGGGAAGCGCAUGGCUGGGCACAUCCACAAGGUGGCCACCCACUCACCUCCAGGAUCACCUGGGUGCUUUUCUAAUUUUUAAUUUUUGUACUGUGUUUAGGCCCUCAAGAUACCCCUCCUUCUAAAGCAGGCUGGUUAGGAGGGGGAAGAUUGAAGACAGAAAAGAAGAGGCACAGCAUGCGCAAGGGAAGAUGUGGGGUUACGUCACAGGACUGCACAAAAGCCUGAGCCUAUGAGACUUCACUUGCCAACAACAGGACCUAACACUAGGUAACUCAGAGAGGAGUUGGUUGGGAGGAUAUCUGGAGUUUUAGAGAACUGGU